AGCUGCUCUUAUCACAGACUGAUUGACGGAGCGCACCGUCUGGAACACACGCUUCUGGGACGACCUUCAGGGCACAGAGAGGUCAGAGGUUUUCUCCCUACGAUGUCGACGAAACGUUCUUCACAGUCAAAGGCACCUGCGGUAGCACUCAAAAGGCAGAGAAAGAUGCUAACCAUCGCACAAAAACCUGGACUUCUGGACAUGCUAAAGGCCACGUCACAGCUGUCAGAGGGGGAGUGAGGGCCACUUCCUGUUGUUCACAAACUCAAAGGCUCCAGCAAGAUUUAAAGGAGCAUGAACUUCCUGUCUUGAAGUCUGAUGGGAAGAAAAUCCCCCAACACUGUACACGAUGAGGUUCAUUUGGAAAACAGGGUUUGACUCGAUGGGGAUGAAAGCUGAGAGCUAAACUAAAAUGUACCAUAAUAAUCUACAAACAAACAAAAAUAAAUAGCCAGAUAACAAAGACAGAAUAUCCGAAAACUGCCAGGAGUUCAUGUUUGAGACAAGUUACACUACUGUUCAAAAGCUUGGGGUUGUUUUGUCUUACCAAGGCUGGAUAAUUAUAGAUCAUAAAAUAAAAUA